rnacentral:rRNA from 3 species
AAAUUGAAGAGUUUGAUCAUGGCUCAGAUUGAACGCUGGCGGCAGGCCUAACACAUGCAAGUCGAGCGGUAGCACAGAGAGCUUGCUCUCGGGUGACGAGCGGCGGACGGGUGAGUAAUGUCUGGGAAACUGCCUGAUGGAGGGGGAUAACUACUGGAAACGGUAGCUAAUACCGCAUAACGUCGCAAGACCAAAGUGGGGGACCUUCGGGCCUCAUGCCAUCAGAUGUGCCCAGAUGGGAUUAGCUAGUAGGUGGGGUAACGGCUCACCUAGGCGACGAUCCCUAGCUGGUCUGAGAGGAUGACCAGCCACACUGGAACUGAGACACGGUCCAGACUCCUACGGGAGGCAGCAGUGGGGAAUAUUGCACAAUGGGCGCAAGCCUGAUGCAGCCAUGCCGCGUGUGUGAAGAAGGCCUUCGGGUUGUAAAGCACUUUCAGCGGGGAGGAAGGCGGUGAGGUUAAUAACCUCAUCGAUUGACGUUACCCGCAGAAGAAGCACCGGCUAACUCCGUGCCAGCAGCCGCGGUAAUACGGAGGGUGCAAGCGUUAAUCGGAAUUACUGGGCGUAAAGCGCACGCAGGCGGUCUGUCAAGUCGGAUGUGAAAUCCCCGGGCUCAACCUGGGAACUGCAUUCGAAACUGGCAGGCUAGAGUCUUGUAGAGGGGGGUAGAAUUCCAGGUGUAGCGGUGAAAUGCGUAGAGAUCUGGAGGAAUACCGGUGGCGAAGGCGGCCCCCUGGACAAAGACUGACGCUCAGGUGCGAAAGCGUGGGGAGCAAACAGGAUUAGAUACCCUGGUAGUCCACGCCGUAAACGAUGUCGAUUUGGAGGUUGUGCCCUUGAGGCGUGGCUUCCGGAGCUAACGCGUUAAAUCGACCGCCUGGGGAGUACGGCCGCAAGGUUAAAACUCAAAUGAAUUGACGGGGGCCCGCACAAGCGGUGGAGCAUGUGGUUUAAUUCGAUGCAACGCGAAGAACCUUACCUGGUCUUGACAUCCACAGAACUUUCCAGAGAUGGAUUGGUGCCUUCGGGAACUGUGAGACAGGUGCUGCAUGGCUGUCGUCAGCUCGUGUUGUGAAAUGUUGGGUUAAGUCCCGCAACGAGCGCAACCCUUAUCCUUUGUUGCCAGCGGUUAGGCCGGGAACUCAAAGGAGACUGCCAGUGAUAAACUGGAGGAAGGUGGGGAUGACGUCAAGUCAUCAUGGCCCUUACGACCAGGGCUACACACGUGCUACAAUGGCAUAUACAAAGAGAAGCGACCUCGCGAGAGCAAGCGGACCUCAUAAAGUAUGUCGUAGUCCGGAUUGGAGUCUGCAACUCGACUCCAUGAAGUCGGAAUCGCUAGUAAUCGUAGAUCAGAAUGCUACGGUGAAUACGUUCCCGGGCCUUGUACACACCGCCCGUCACACCAUGGGAGUGGGUUGCAAAAGAAGUAGGUAGCUUAACCUUCGGGAGGGCGCUUACCACUUUGUGAUUCAUGACUGGGGUGAAGUCGUAACAAGGUAACCGUAGGGGAACCUGCGGUUGGAUCACCUCCUUACCUUAAAGAA